UACGUAGGGGGCAAGCGUUGUCCGGAAUCAUUGGGCGUAAAGAGCGUGUAGGCGGCCUGAUAAGUCGGCUGUGAAAGUCAAGGGCUCAACCCUUGAAUGCCGGCCGAUACUGUCGGGCUAGAGUGCGGAAGAGGCGAGUGGAAUUCCUGGUGUAGCGGUGAAAUGCGCAGAUAUCAGGAGGAACACCAAUUGCGAAGGCAGCUCGCUGGGACGUAACUGACGCUGAGACGCGAAAGCGUGGGGAGCAAACAGG
rnacentral:rRNA from 1 species